UUCACGUUUCUUAAUCGUCAGCACGCCGCGAGGCGUUCUCGCGACGGAUUUUUCUCAUCAAUACAUUCAAGGAACGAGAAAAUGGCUAGUGGCAUCGUAAAGUGGUUCAAUGACGCGAAGGGUUUCGGAUUCAUCACGCCGGAUGACGGCAGCAAGGAUCUGUUUGCGCACUUCUCCGAGAUCAAGGGCAACGGCUUCAAGUCGCUGAGCGAAGGCCAGCGCGUGCAGUUCGUCGUCAAGCAGGGCGCCAAGGGCCCGCAGGCGACCGAAAUCCAGGCCGCCUGACGUCUCCCAUCGCGGUUGGCGCGCGGCCUUGGCGCCGCGCGCCAACC
rnacentral:sRNA from 1 species